AUUGAACGCUGGCGGCAUGCCUUACACAUGCAAGUCGAACGGCAGCACGGGUGCUUGCCCCUGGUGGCGAGUGGCGAACGGGUGAGUAAUACAUCGGAACAUGUCCUGUAGUGGGGGAUAGCCCGGCGAACGCCGGAUUAAUACCGCAUACGAUCUACGGAUGAAAGCGGGGGACCUUCGGGCCUCGCGCUAUAGGGUUGGCCGAUGGCUGAUUAGCUAGUUGGUGGGGUAAAGGCCUACCAAGGCGACGAUCAGUAGCUGGUCUGAGAGGACGACCAGCCACACUGGGACUGAGACACGGCCCAGACUCCUACGGGAGGCAGCAGUGGGGAAUUUUGGACAAUGGGCGAAAGCCUGAUCCAGCAAUGCCGCGUGUGUGAAGAAGGCCUUCGGGUUGUAAAGCACUUUUGUCCGGAAAGAAAUCCUUGGCCCUAAUACGGUCGGGGGAUGACGGUACCGGAAGAAUAAGCACCGGCUAACUACGUG
rnacentral:rRNA from 1 species